CAUUUGAUGGCCGAUUAAAGGUGUGAGUCUUUUAAACUUAUUAUAGAUUAUCUUCAAAUGA
rnacentral:tRNA from 1 species